GUGAAGCUGGUAAGUAAUUGGGCUAAAUAAGAAUUUUCCCCAGGUGAAAAUGGGGACCCGAACUGAAAAUGGAGGAAACCCACCUCCUGAGUCUUUGGUGAAAGAGUGAAGCUAUAUUCCAGACUACGACUUUAUGACCUUUCUAUCACUUGGUAAGGAGUGAUCCCAAAAAGUGGUGUGAUCCUUGCAAGUGAGUAAGAUGCCUGCCUUCCUGGAGGCCCGGAGAAAUUGAGGGAGGGAAAGCGUCCUUCAAGAUGCGGAAUCACGCAAGGCAGUGGGACUAGGAAUCCCUUUUAAAGUUUCUCUAAAUCACUUAAAGUCAUCUAUCCUUCGUCAUGAGAAGAUACCUGUUGGAACAGAAGUAAAGCCGCUCUUGACCCAGGAAGGGUUAAUAAUCACUGGAAAAGGCUUGCCAGCAAACUGUGACCCGGAGGUGAGAAGGCCGGUUAGCCAAUGACAGCAAUAUGAACAGAAGUUGUGAGAGGGAAGAUGUUAAAGAGAAAGAUACAAUGAUCGGCAAACAACUGAAGAAAAUAGCUGCCUCUCUCUCCAGUCAGAUCACCUAAAUUAGCCAAGUUGUUAAGAACUGCUUUUGUUGCUUUUUGUUUGCUUGCUGCUGUAGAAAUACAUCAGGACUAAUUCUGUGGAGUCUGUCUCCUUUGAAGUGACUGGCCACUGAUGUCUCCACUUCAUUUAUAUGUUUAAGUCUGGAUUCCUAUAAUGUGUCCUUCUGUAUGCAAAGCUUCAGAGUCAACCAGUGACUGGUCUUAAUUUUCACUGAAACUGGAAAAAAUAGGUGAUUUGCUGAGUGCUAAGAGGAAGUGAUGGUGUAUUUUGGUGCCGAUCCAGGUGCUGAUGCGUGGAUCCAGGUGCUGAAUCGUGGAUGAAGGUGCUGAUGCAUAGAUCCAGAUGCUGAGCUGUGGAUCCAGGUGCUGAUGCAUGGAUGUGUUCUUUAUGCAAAAAUUCGUAAAUUCUUAUUCUUUGAUUUGU
rnacentral:lncRNA from 1 species